rnacentral:rRNA from 1 species
CGGGGGGUAGCAAUACCAACCGGCGAACGGGUGCGGAACACGUGAGCAAUCUGCCGAUUACUGGGGGAUAGCCGGGCCAACGCCCGGGUAAUACCGCAUACGCUCAUGAGGGGACAUCCCCUUAUGAGGAAACCUCCGGGGGUAAUCGAGGAGCUCGCGUCUUAUCAGCUAGUUGGUGAGGUAACGGCUCACCAAGGCUACGACGGGUAGCUGGUCUGAGAGGAUGGCCAGCCACAUUGGGACUGCGACACGGCCCAGACUCCUACGGGAGGCAGCAGUGGGGAAUAUUGCGCAAUGGACGAAAGUCUGACGCAGCGACGCCGCGUGUGGGAUGAAGCUCUUCGGGGUGUAAACCACUGUUGCCCGGGACGAAUAUCCUCCAUUAGGAGGAUUGACGGUACCGGGUGAGGAAGCACCGGCUAACUCUGUGCCAGCAGCCGCGGUAAUACAGAGGGUGCGAGCGUUGUCCGGAAUCACUGGGCGUAAAGGGCGCGUAGGUGGCUCGUUAAGCGUGUGGUGAAAGCCUGGGGCUCAACC